rnacentral:rRNA from 1 species
AACAGGUGCUAAUACCGGAUAACAACCAAAACCACCUGGUUUUGGUUUACCAGACGGCUUCGGCUGUCACUUUAGGAUGGACCCGCGGCGCAUUAGCUUGUUGGUAAGGUAACGGCUUACCAAGGCGAUGAUACGUAGCCGACCUGAGAGGGCAAUCGGCCACAUUGGGACUGAGACACGGCCCAAACUCCUACGGGAGGCAGCAGUAGGGAAUCUUCCACAAUGGACGAAAGUCUGAUGGAGCAACGCCGCGUGAGUGAUGAAGGGUUUCGGCUCGUAAAACUCUGUUGUUGGAGAAGAACAGGUGUCAGAGUAACUGUUGACAUCUUGACGGUAUCCAACCAGAAAGCCACGGCUAACUACGUGCCAGCAGCCGCGGUAAUACGUAGGUGGCAAGCGUUGUCCGGAUUUAUUGGGCGUAAAGCGAGCGCAGGCGGUUUUUUAGGUCUGAUGUGAAAGCCUUCGGCUUAACCGGAGAAGUGCAUCGGAAACCGGGAGACUUGAGUGCAGAAGAGGACAGUGGAACUCCAUGUGUAGCGGUGAAAUGCGUAGAUAUAUGGAAGAACACCAGUGGCGAAGGCGGCUGUCUGGUCUGUAACUGACGCUGAGGCUCGAAAGCAUGGGUAGCGAACAGGAUUAGAUACCCUGGUAGUCCAUG